AGUAGUUUGACUCCUGGCUCAGAACGAACGCUGGCGGCAUGCCUAACACAUGCAAGUCGAACGAAGCCUUCGGGCUUAGUGGCGCACGGGUGCGUAACGCGUGGGAAUCUGCCCUUGGGUUCGGAAUAACAGUUAGAAAUGACUGCUAAUACCGAAUGAUGUCUUCGGACCAAAGAUUUAUCGCCCAAGGAUGAGCCCGCGUCGGAUUAGCUAGUUGGUGAGGUAAAGGCUCACCAAGGCGACGAUCCGUAGCUGGUCUGAGAGGAUGAUCAGCCACACUGGGACUGAGACACGGCCCAGACUCCUACGGGAGGCAGCAGUGGGGAAUAUUGGACAAUGGGCGAAAGCCUGAUCCAGCAAUGCCGCGUGAGUGAUGAAGGCCUUAGGGUUGUAAAGCUCUUUUACCCGGGAUGAUAAUGACAGUACCGGGAGAAUAAGCCCCGGCUAACUCCGUG
rnacentral:rRNA from 1 species